UACAGGGGGUGCAAACGUUGCUCGGAAUUAUUGGGCGUAAAGCGCACGUAGGCGGUUUGUUAUGUCGGAUGUGAAAGCCCUUGGCUCAACUGAGGAAGUGCAUCCGAAACUGGCAAGCUAGAGUAUGUAAGAGGGUCGCGGAAUUCUCGGUGUAGAGGUGAAAUUCGUAGAUAUCGGGAGGAACACUGGUGGCGAAGGCGGCGACCUGGGACAAUACUGACGCUGAGGUGCGAAAGCGUGGGGAGCAAACAGG
rnacentral:rRNA from 1 species